AGCCGAAAUUAAAGGCGCGUUAAUCUGACGUAGACAGGUUUAACGCCAAAGCGUUUGCCGGGUUAAUCUACGGAGGUACACGGCUGUUAAAACGCGAUCCAUUUUUGCGACACCCGGCGGGCGUUCGAGGUCGCCGAAUCGAGCAUUUGUCACGCAGAUUGAUUGCUUCGAUUUAGAUUGCGUUAUACAGAGCCAUUCUAAGACCGCUAUACACGAAAACUGCGGUUCGACGACUAGUUGCUCACUCGUCGCCUCUCUCACUUUGUUGAUAAUCUGACGGCAUUCCCCCGGGAUAUUGACUAAAAAGGUGCCCAUUCCAGUUCCCUGAUGGAUCUGCGGAGUCGGAUAUCUGGCACUGCGGAGAACCGAGCUGAUUGCAGUACCAGCACUCUGAAGAAGUUUCGAGGCAAGGCAAGACUGACUUCACGUGUGGAGUGGAAUCAUGUUGAUAUUCGGUGCAACUUUGGUGUGCUCACUGUGUUCAGUCAAAAAACAUUUACUGAUACAUUGAUUUAUAGUCAGCUGCCUGCUCCUGAAAUAUAGAAAUCUUGUGGUUCUCUUGGGCAGAA